UUGUCAUCUUCGUCACCAAUUGGCACUCCCCUUGCUACGUCAUACUAUUCAGUGUCACCUUUGAGACGAUCCCAUUGCCAUCCUCAUUUUCAACCUUGACGGUCUUGGUGGAGAUGGUAGAAAGGUGGUAAGAAUUGGAUGCGACUAUCAUAGCUAACCAUUUCUAGAGGGAGAGGACAAGAAUGAAAAGUAACAAGGCAAGUUUAGUUUUUCUCCCCCUUUUUUUCCCUCUUCUUUUUAAGAGCUAAAUAACUCUUUCCUUCCUUCCCUCUUUUCCCUUUCUUAGUAUUUUCUUCUUUUGCCCUUUCUAAAUAACAUUUUGAAAGAAGACGAAGAAUCAUCUUUUAAAGGAUGUAUCAACCAAAACUACAAAGAAAAUAACUUAAUGGAAAUUCCUUAGCUUGCUGCUCAAUCAAAGGAUCAAUAAUUAACAUCAAUAACAAAGUCUCUCACUCAAUGAAAGGAUGACUUAAGCUCAUUAAACCAAGAGAAAUUUGAUCAAAGGGAUGGAAAAUCACAAAUUCAGAAAAGAAGAUAGAUGCACAUGCCAUGUGGGAGGAGGGGUAGCAAAUUAUGAACCCCCCAUGCACCAUUAUAUAUAUCAGUACAAACAGAUAAAGUCCCUAGCCAGUUCCUAAAGUUAAAAUAGUACAGGGGUCAUGUGAUGCAUGCUGUUUGCCUUGUUUUAGUUCACGAGGAGAUCAUGCCCUCCAUCUUAAGUUUCUCUCACAGAAAGAGAGAAAGAGAGAGAGAGCUUAAGCAGAGUAGUGAGUCCUCAAAUCUAAAUUCAAUGUCAAGUGUUGCAUCUCAUUCAAUUUUUCUUCUGUUCUGAGGAAAAAAAGGAAAGAAAAACUACUAAGGAUACGCAGACGCAGACGCAGACACUUGAGCAAAACAGGAAGAUAGAUGAUGGAGUGGGAAAACGCCGCUACUGUUAAAAGAUUUGACCUGAAACAGAGGUGGCUUUUUAUACGUCUAAUUAAUUGUGUUAUCUCGAGACUGUAAUCGUGGACAGCAUGAGCCCCUCCCUCCCAAUUAUUGAUCGUUUUCAUGGGGAAAUAUGGAGUGCUGUCAUUUCAUGAAAGUGUUUUGCAGGCCAACAGUGAAAUGAAGAAGAUGAUAAUUACGAUGAAGAAAAAUGAAUUGAAUUUCUUUGAUUUAGCUACAGCAUGAUUAGAUCUGUUGCAAUCGUAGAAUUGGUAAAAUUGGGGGUAAUUAGAGGAGGAAAUGGAGCUUUCUCAAGUGAAGAAGAAGAAGGAGGAGGAGAGAGGAGCGUACCAGGAAGGUGGCGAUGGAGGAGUAGGCGAGGGUGCGGAAGCGGCCGCAGUAGGCGUCGGAGACGAAGGCGCCGACGAGCGGAGCGAAGUUGGUGGUGCCGGAGAAGAUGUUGACGAUGUUGGCCGCCGCCACUUGCUGGACGUGGAAGCGCUUCACCAGGUACACCGUCAAGUUGGCCGUCAGCCCGUACGACGCCACCCUCUCGAAGCUCUCGUUUCCUGCGCGCAAGCAAAACAGCUUCAGAUCGUCGCCGCCGAGCCAUCGGGGUCCCGAAGAAAGCAUUUUUACGGAAAUCGAACGAGGCAACAGAUACCGAUAAUGUAAGGCAUGCACUUCCACCCUUGCGGCUCCCUCUUCUCCGGCUUGGUCUUGUCUCCGCCGCUGCCACCGCCGCCGCCGCCACGGGCGGCGUCGCCGGAGUGCACAUUGCCCUGGUGAAGCAGAGAGUCGCAAGUGAAGCAGUCGGAGAGCUUGCUCAAGGACGAUCUCUCCAUCCGAUCGAUCUCGGCCUCUUCUGUCAAUUGUCUGGCGAUCGAUCAGCGGUCAGUCCUUUUGGUUUAUGUAGGACGGAGCUACUGCAGAGGAGUGAUGGCGAUUUGUACGCCACGCUGUAAACAUUUAUAGAACAUUUACAAUCA